UCUGGAAUGGUUCAGUCAGUAGAGCAUGAGACACUUACUCUCAGGGCCGUCGGUUCAAGCCCCACAUUUGGCAAAA